rnacentral:rRNA from 1 species
AGUGAACGCUGGCGGUAGGCCUAACACAUGCAAGUCGAACGGCAGCACAGGAGAGCUUGCUCUCUGGGUGGCGAGUGGCGGACGGGUGAGGAAUACAUCGGAAUCUACUCUGUCGUGGGGGAUAACGUAGGGAAACUUACGCUAAUACCGCAUACGACCUACGGGUGAAAGCAGGGGACCUUCGGGCCUUGCGCGAUUAAAUGAGCCGAUGUCGGAUUAGCUAGUUGGCGGGGUAAAGGCCCACCAAGGCGACGAUCCGUAGCUGGGCUGAGGGGAUGAUCAGCCACACUGGAACUGAGACACGGUCCAGACUCCUACGGGAGGCAGCAGUGGGGAAUAUUGGACAAUGGGCGCAAGCCUGAUCCAGCCAUACCGCGUGGGUGAAGAAGGCCUUCGGGUUGUAAAGCCCUUUUGUUGGGAAAGAAAUCCAGCUGGCUAAUACCCGGUUGGGAUGACGGUACCCAAAGAAUAAGCACCGGCUAACUUCGUGCCAGCCGCCGCCGUAA